rnacentral:rRNA from 1 species
UACGUAGGGGGCAAGCGUUGUCCGGAUUUAUUGGGCGUAAAGCGCGCGUAGGCGGCAAGGUAUGUCGUGCGUGAAAUCUCCCGGCUUAACUGGGAGGGGCCGUGCGGAAACUGCCUGGCUUGAGGUCGGAAGGGGAAAGUGGAAUUCCGGGUGGUAGUGGUGGAAUACGUAGAUAUCCGGAGGAACACCAGCGGCGAAGGCG